UACUAGAGUAGCACUCGCAUAUCAAUAAGCGGAGGAAAAGAAACUAACAAGGAUUCCCCUAGUAACGGCGAGUGAAGCGGGAAGAGCUCAAAUUUGAAAUCUUAAAGGGUUUCCCUUUACGAAUUGUAGUUUAAAGAAGUGUUUUCUGUUGAGGUUUUGGUAAAAGUUCUUUGGAAUAGGACAUCAUAGAGGGUGAGAAUCCCGUAUUUGACCUUUACUUUCAACUUUGUGAUACACUUUCAAAGAGUCGGAUUGGUUGGGAAUGCAGUCCAAAAUGGGUGGUAAAUUUCAUCUAAAGCUAAAUAUUGGCGAGAGACCGAUAGCGAACAAGUACCGUGAGGGAAAGAUGAAAAGAACUUUGAAAAGAGAGUUAAACAGUACGUGAAAUUGUCAAAAGGGAAGCGUUUGACACCAGUGUUGUUUUUCUGAAAAUCAAUUAAAGAACUGUUUAUGCUAAGCUGUUUAGACUUUAUCAGCUAACUGUUUAGUUUUGAGCUUUUCUUUAAUGCACUUUUCAGUUAACAAGUCAACAUCAAUUUCUUUUGCUGUAAAAAAGCUUGAGGAAGGUGGCUUGAGAUUCGUCUUAAGUGUUUAUAGCCUCUUGCCUAUGCAGUCGGAGAGAUUGAGGUCUGCAGCGUAGAUCCUUCGGGGCUAAAUGCAUUUGUGCUAGUUAUAGCAUUUUAUAGACAACUUGUUGACUAUGAUUUGUCUUGUAGCUUACUCGCUUAUGUUAUUUUACCUACGCUUAGGAUGUUGAGCGCAUGUCUCUCUCU
rnacentral:rRNA from 1 species